UACGAAGGGGGCUAGCGUUGCUCGGAAUCACUGGGCGUAAAGCGCACGUAGGCGGGUCUUUAAGUCGGAGGUGAAAUCCUGGAGCUCAACUCCAGAACUGCCUUUGAUACUGAGGAUCUUGAGUUCGGGAGAGGUGAGUGGAACUGCGAGUGUAGAGGUGAAAUUCGUAGAUAUUCGCAAGAACACCAGUGGCGAAGGCGGCUCACUGGCCCGAUACUGACGCUGAGGCACGAAAGCGUGGGGAGCAAACAGG
rnacentral:rRNA from 1 species